AGCGAACGCUGGCGGCAGGCCUAACACAUGCAAGUCGAACGAACUCUUCGGAGUUAGUGGCGGACGGGUGAGUAACACGUGGGAACGUGCCUUUAGGUUCGGAAUAACUCAGGGAAACUUGUGCUAAUACCGAAUGUGCCCUUCGGGGGAGAGAUUUAUCGCCGUUAGAGCGGCCCGCGUCUGAUUAGCUAGUUGGUGAGGUAAAGGCUCACCAAGGCGACGAUCAGUAGCUGGUCUGAGAGGAUGAUCAGCCACAUUGGGACUGAGACACGGCCCAAACUCCCACGUGAGGCAGCAGUGGGGAAUCUUGCGCAAUGGGCGAAAGCCUGACGCAGCCAUGCCGCGUGAAUGAUGAAGGUCUUAGGAUUGUAAAAUUCUUUCACCGGGGACGAUAAUGACGGUACCCGGAGAAGAAGCCCCGGCUAACUUCGUGCCAGCCGCCGCGGUAA
rnacentral:rRNA from 1 species